ensembl:snoRNA small nucleolar RNA SNORA2/SNORA34 family
AUAGCUCUGAAUCAAGGCUGGCAGCUUGCUGAAGCUGUUGGUUUCAAGCAGGAGUCUAAAGUGGUACCUUUCUAUGAUCUGUUGUCCACUUUAGAACUCUAGAAAUGUAAUGGUCAAAUCUUUAGAAAGAAACAAUU